CUGAAUUCGGCUUAGAGUUUGAUCCUGGCUCAGAGUGAACGCUGGCGGCGUGCUUAACACAUGCAAGUCGAACGAGAACGGGUUCAGUUUACUAAACUGUCAGCUAAGUGGCGCACGGGUGAGUAAUAUAUAGUUAAUCUGCCUUAGAGAUGGGAAUAAUUGUUGGAAACGACUUGUAAGACCUAAUAUGCCUUUAAUACAUAAGUAUGCAAGGGAAACAUUUAUGGCUCUAAGAUGAGACUGUACGGUAUCAGUUAGUUGGUGGGGUAAUGGCUCACCAAGACGAUGACACCUAACUGGUUUGAGAGGAUGAUCAGUCACACUGGAACUGAGACACGGUCCAGACUCCUACGGGAGGCAGCAGUGGGGAAUAUUGCACAAUGGACGAAAGUCUGAUGCAGCAACGCCGCGUGGAGGAUGACACAUUUCGGUGCGUAAACUCCUUUUAUAUGAGAAGAUAAUGACGGUAUCAUAUGAAUAAGCACCGGCUAACUUCGUGCCAGCAGCCGCGGUAAUACGAGGGGUGCAAGCGUUACUCGGAAUCACUGGGCGUAAAGAGCAUGUAGGCGGGUAAUUAAGUUGGAAGUGAAAUCCUAUGGCUCAACCAUAGAACUGCUUCCAAAACUGAUUAUCUAGAAUAUGGGAGAGGUAGAUGGAAUUUCUGGUGUAGGGGUAAAAUCCGUAGAGAUCAGAAGGAAUACCGAUUGCGAAGGCGAUCUACUGGAACAUUAUUGACGCUGAGAUGCGAAAGCGUGGGGAGCAAACAGGAUUAGAUACCCUGGUAGUCCACGCCCUAAACGAUGCACACUAGUUGUUGCUAUACUAGAUAUAGCAGUAAUGCAGUUAACACAUUAAGUGUGCCGCCUGGGGAGUACGGUCGCAAGAUAAAACUCAAAGGAAUAGACGG
rnacentral:rRNA from 1 species